GAUGAACGCUGGCGGCGUGCCUAAUACAUGCAAGUCGAGCGAACGGACGAGAAGCUUGCUUCUCUGAUGUUAGCGGCGGACGGGUGAGUAACACGUGGAUAACCUACCUAUAAGACUGGGAUAACUUCGGGAAACCGGAGCUAAUACCGGAUAAUAUUUUGAACCGCAUGGUUCAAAAGUGAAAGACGGUCUUGCUGUCACUUAUAGAUGGAUCCGCGCUGCAUUAGCUAGUUGGUAAGGUAACGGCUUACCAAGGCAACGAUGCAUAGCCGACCGGAGAGGGUGAUCGGCCACACUGGAACUGAGACACGGUCCAGACUCCUACGGGAGGCAGCAGUAGGGAAUCUUCCGCAAUGGGCGAAAGCCUGACGGAGCAACGCCACGUGAGUGAUGAAGGUCUUCGGAUCGUAAAACUCUGUUAUUAGGGAAGAACAUAUGUGUAAGUAACUGUGCACAUCUUGACGGUACCUAAUCAGAAAGCCACGGCUAACUACGUG
rnacentral:rRNA from 1 species